GACGAACGCUGGCGGCGUGCUUAACACAUGCGAGUCGAACGGAAAGGCCCUGCUUUUGUGGGGUGCUCGAGUGGCGAACGGGUGAGUAACACGUGAGUAACCUGCCCUUGACUUUGGGAUAACUUCAGGAAACUGGGGCUAAUACCGGAUAGGAGCUCCUGCUGCAUGGUGGGGGUUGGAAAGUUUCGGCGGUUGGGGAUGGACUCGCGGCUUAUCAGCUUGUUGGUGGGGUAGUGGCUUACCAAGGCUUUGACGGGUAGCCGGCCUGAGAGGGUGACCGGCCACAGUGGGACUGAGGUACGGCCCAGACUCCUACGGGAGGCAGCAGUGGGGAAUAUUGCACAAUGGGCGGAAGCCUGAUGCAGCAACGCCGCGUGCGGGAUGACGGCCUUCGGGUUGUAAACCGCUUUCGCCUGUGACGAAGCGUGAGUGACGGUAAUGGGUAAAGAAGCACCGGCUAACUACGUG
rnacentral:rRNA from 1 species